AUUCCAGCUCUAAGAAGAAACAGUAAAAUAAUGAGAUCGAGCCAUUUGAAAAUGGGUAAAAACAGCGAGAAAUAUCUUCCAAAAUCAAUUAUCCAUCAAAGCUGUCACUGUCUAUUACAUCAACCUUAUACGUGAAUAUGUGCUUAAUACAAUGAAACUGUUUACAGUGCAUACUACUUGAACUACUUGAACUUUGAUACAUGGAGUUUCAAGAUAGCAAUGAGUUUUAUCUGCCAACCAUUGCGGGCUUAUCAAUCGGCUUUGACUGUUCAUUAGUAGAAUUUCACACUUUGGAGACCACUGCCGAAUGCUCAAGCUGCUGCUACUCUCUCAAUAAAUUUCACAGACAUGAUAUUGGAUAGAACAGAUGCAGCAAGUGUGGGUUGCAGCAUUGGAUGCAUCAGUGUUUAUCUUGGUAGCUGGUACGUGGUAUUUUAAAACGCUUCAGCAUAUGUGUGUCAGCAGAACCAGUGUACCAAGCUGUGUAAUGUAUUUACAACAGGCAUUGCAUAACUAGCCUUUUUAACACCUGAGGAUCAAGUUAUCAUGGUGAUGGGAAAUCUGCAUUUAUGAUAGCCAAAGUAUGGUAUGGUUAGUAAAAUUUAAAAAGAAUAAAUAAAGCAUAACAAAAAAGGGACAGUAAUCAGUCGUAGUGAAAUAGCAUCGGUAUUUCACGGUAUUAUCUGAAUAUGUGCAAUCGGGCUACAUCUAUUACACUUCAAGCCAAUUAUGCACUUCUGCAUGCAUAUACCUAUACCUAUGCAUGUAGUACGCAUGUACGUGCGAAUGUAUAAGCUAUGGGUAAAUCGAAUGCAGGUACCGAACAGGUAUGUGAGUGUGACGGCAUUGAAACAAUCGAGAAUAUACCGACGACGAACCUGAAUUGAUAAGAAUUGCUAAACGGGCUAUCGAUAGUUCAAAUUUCUUUUGCUAUUUUUUGUAAUAGUUAAGACUCACUUUUGUCCGCCGGAGAUGACAGCUUGUCGACAUACGCUUAGCAUUGUUACGUGUUAUGCCUUUAUACCCCACCCAAGGAUGUAGGAUUUUCUGUGGCUGGUGGCACAAGUGUUGGUGCUGGGAUUAUAUAUCUGUAUCUUCGUCCGGAUGUCGCGGAACUGUUGAGUCGGCUCUAGACCAUCAAA